rnacentral:rRNA from 1 species
UACGUAGAAGACUAGUGUUAUUCAUCUUUAGUAGGUUUAAAGGGUACCUAGACGGUAUGAUUAGUCUUAAACAGGAUACGAUUAUACUAGAGUUAUAUAUGAGAAGGGGAGUAUUUAUGGAGUAGAGUUGAAAUUCUUUGAUCCCAUGACGACUGGUAACGGCGAAAGCAACCUUUUAUCUAAUAACUGACGUUGAGGGACGAAGGCUCGGGUCACGAACAGG